rnacentral:rRNA from 1 species
UUUUGUAGAGCAAAUACCCUAAAGGCACCUGACCCCAUCUGAACUUGGAAGCUAAGCAGAGUGAGCCCUGGUUAGUACUUGGAUGGGAACCACCAAUAAAUAGCAGGCCCUGUAAGCU